rnacentral:rRNA from 1 species
GAUGAACGCUAGCGGGAGGCCUAACACAUGCAAGCCGAGCGGUAGAGUUUCUUCGGAAACUUGAGAGCGGCGCACGGGUGCGUAACACGUGUGCAACCUACCUUUAUCUGGGGGAUAGCCUUUCGAAAGGAGGAUUAAUACCCCAUAAUAUAAUGAUUGGCAUCAAUUAUUAUUGAAAACUCCGGUGGAUAGAGAUGGGCACGCGCAAGAUUAGAUAGUUGGUGAGGUAACGGCUCACCAAGUCAAUGAUCUUUAGGGGUCCUGAGAGGGAGAUCCCCCACACUGGUACUGAGACACGGACCAGACUCCUACGGGAGGCAGCAGUGAGGAAUAUUGGACAAUGGGUGAGAGCCUGAUCCAGCCAUCCCGCGUGAAGGAUGACGGUCCUAUGGAUUGUAAACUUCUUUUGUACAGGGAUAAACCUACCCUCGUGAGGGUAGCUGAAGGUACUGUACGAAUAAGCACCGGCUAACUCCGUG